CAACAAACAAAAUUUCAUUUAGUUGAUGUUUCAUGAUUAAUCAACAAACUCCGCCGAAUAUAAUGAUUCGAUGCUUGUGGAAUAAUAUUCAGUCUUAAGGCGAUGUAUGACAAUUUUAAGCUCAAUUGUUAUAAUGGACCUGGACAAUUUUAAACGCACAGUGCUGGCUGUUUUUUCUUAUUGAAGGGCUUUGUAUAGAUAUAUCCAAAAGGGACCAUUGGAGCUUCUUAAUUUCCAUGCUGGAAAUGAAAAAGUCUAAAACAGCAUUGUAUCCAAAGCUCUAUUGCUUGUAGUCGUGUGAACCAACUUUAUCAGUCAGAAAUGUAUUAAGAAAACUACCAAAUGGAUUACAGAUAAAUUAUUACACUGACCAAAUUGUAUUAAAUUUAAAACUAAAGUUAUUGGUGAACUAUCCUACUGUAAAAAUCGACAGUGGAAAUCGGCAAGCUAAACCCACAUAUGAACAAUGGCAGAUUGGCAAAACCAGAUUCCUACAUAACCCUCCCGCACCAAGCAAUAUCACCGCUGAAGGGUAUGCGCAAUGCAUUUCUCCCAAGUAAAAAUGAAGCCCAUCAGAGAUCCUUGGAAAAACAACAAAAAAAUAUAAUUAUAUUCUAAAUUGUGUAUCUUUUGUAAAGAUGGAUGAAUGUUUUAAGGAAUAAAUAAGUCUUAAUUAUUA